CAACGCUUUGGGAAACAUUCUCUAACCCGUCCGAUACCUUUGAGUUGAACUGGAACACGGACUGUGAGCCGGGUCACAUCACCCAACAUACGACAACCAGCUUCCAACAUCACGUGGAAAGUCUCCCCUGAAGAAGAGAAGCUGCUGUAGCAGAAGGUUUAUGUUGACGAUUGUAAAAUCAUAUUGGGGCCAAGCAGAGCACGUCCUGGACACGUCACCAAUCUUCUCUUCAAUGAGGACUAAGCUCGGGAGGGCUGUUUUACGAAGCAUCCUCUGAUAACCAGAAAGCUGGCUAUGUUUCAGCCCCCGAAGCAGUGAUUCUUCAGACA
ensembl:lncRNA